rnacentral:rRNA from 1 species
AACGAACGCUGGCGGCGUGCCUAAGACAUGCAAGUCGUGCGGAAAGGCUCCUUCGGGAGCACUCGAGCGGCGCACGGGUGAGUAACACGUGGGUAAUCUGCCUUCGGGCCCGGGACAACUUCGGGAAACUGGAGCUAAUACCGGAUGAGACCACGGGGCCUUCGGGUCCUGCGGAAAAAGGUGGCCUCUGCUUGCAAGCUACCGCCUGUCGAUGAGCCUGCGUCCCAUUAGUUAGUUGGUGGGGUAACGGCCUACCAAGGCGAUGAUGGGUAGCUGGUCUGAGAGGAUGAUCAGCCACACUGGAACUGAGACACGGUCCAGACUCCUACGGGAGGCAGCAGUCGGGAAUUUUGGGCAAUGGGCGAAAGCCUGACCCAGCAACGCCGCGUGGGGGAUGAAGGCCCUCGGGUCGUAAACCUCUGUCGGGAGGGAAGAACGAUCGGCAGUCGAACAGGCUGACGGUCUGACGGUACCUCCAAAGGAAGCACCGGCUAACUCCGUGCCAGCAGCCGCGGUAAUACGGAGGGUGCAAGCGUUGUUUCGGGAAUCA